rnacentral:misc_RNA from 1 species
GAUGAAGAACGCAGCGAAUUGCGAUAUGUAAUGUGAAUUGCAGAAUUCAGUGAAUCAUCGAAUCUUUGAACGCACAUUGCACCCUCUGGUAAUCCAGAGGGUAUGCCUGUUUGAGUGUCAUUAACAAAAUCAAAUUCAGACUUUGUUCUGCAAUUUGGACUUUGAGGGCCUUGCUAACUGUGAAAGUCAGCUCCCUUUAAAUGCAUUAGCAGGUUGCAAACAACUAGCCCCAGUUUGAUAGACUUUGAUCAUCUGUGCUGUCGCUAGUGAAUUAGUUUGACCGCUUCAAAUUGUCUUUAGACUUGCCGUUAGGCAAUAUAUUUAAGUCUUGACCUCAAAUCAGGUAGGAUUACCCGCUGAACUUAAGCAUAUCAAUAAGCGGAGGA